rnacentral:rRNA from 1 species
CCUACGGGUGGCAGCAGUAGGGAAUUUUCCACAAUGGGCGAAAGCCUGAUGGAGCAACGCCGCGUGGGUGAAGAAGGUCUUCGGAUCGUAAAACCCUGUUGUUAGAGAAGAAAGUGCGGGAGAGUAACUGUUCACGUUUCGACGUUAUCUAACCAGAAAGCCACGGCUAACUACGUGCCAGCAGCCGCGGUAAUACGUAGGUGGCAAGCGUUAUCCGGAUUUAUUGGGCGUAAGGGUAACGCAGGCGGUCUUGUAAGUCUGAUGUGAAAGACGUCGGCUUAACCGGAGUAGUGCAUUGGAAACUGGGAGACUUGAGUGCAGUAGAGGAGAGUGGAACGCCAUGUGUAGCGGGGAAAUGCGUAGAUAUAUGGAAGAACACCAGUGGCGAAGGCGGCUCUCUGGUCUGUAACUGACGCUGAGGUUCGAAAGCGUGGGUAGCAAACAGGAUUAGAUACCCGUGUAGUC